rnacentral:rRNA from 1 species
CCCGGGACCCGGGACCGGGCCGACCGGGUACGGAGUAACAACGUACGUAGCGAACCUACGCCGUCGCCACAGGGGGAUAACCCGCGGAAACGCGGCCUAAUACCCCGUGACGCCACCGGAGGGCAUCCUCCGGUGGCCAAAGGAGCGAUCCGGUGGCGGAUGGGCAUGCGGCGCAUUAGCUAGACGGCGGGGUGACGGCCCACCGUGGCGACGAUGCGUAGGGGUUCUGAGAGGAAGGCCCCCCACACUGGGACUGAGACACGGCCCAGACUCCUACGGGAGGCAGCAG